rnacentral:rRNA from 1 species
UAACUACGUGCCAGCAGCCGCGGUAAUACGUAGGUGGCGAGCGUUAUCCGGAAUGAUUGGGCGUAAAGGGUACGUAGGCGGCAUGAUAAGUCUGGAGUGAAAGGCUACAGCUCAACUGUAGUAUGCUCUGGAAACUGUCAAGCUAGAGUGCAGAAGAGGGCAAUGGAACUCCAUGUGUAGCGGUAAAAUGCGUAGAUAUAUGGAAGAACACCGGUGGCGAAGGCGGUUGCCUGGUCUGAAACUGACGCUGAAGUACGAAAGCGUGGGGAGCAAAUAGGAUUAGAUACCCUAGUAGUCCACGCCGUAAACGAUGAGAACCUGAUGCAGGAGAUAUUCUGUGUCGAAGCUAACGCGUUAAGUUCUCCGCCUGGGUACUACGUUCGCAAGAAUAAAACUUAAAGGAAUUGACGGGCGCCCGCACAAGCAGUGGAGCAUGGGGUUUAAUUCGUCGAUACACGAAAAACCUUACCAGGGCUUGACAUCCCGCUAAAAGCCUUAGAAAUAAGGAAAUAGUUAUAGCGGUGACAGGUGGUGCAUGGUUGUCGUCAGCUCGUGCCGUGAGGUGUUAGGUUAAGUCCUCAAACGAGCGCAACCCUUGUCUUUAGUUGCCAUUAUUAAUUUAGGAACUCUAGAGAGACUGCCGGCGCAAGCCGGAGGAAGGCGGGGAUGACGUCAAAUCAUCAUGCCCUUUAUGCCCUGGGCCACACCCGUGCUACAAUGGUCGGUACAAAGAGAAGCAACACUGUGAGGUGAAGCAAAUCCCAUAAAGCCGAUCUCAAUUCGGAUUGAAGUCUGCAACUCGACUUCAUGAAGCUGGAAUUGCUAGUAAUCGCAGAUCAGCAACGCUGCGGUGAAUACGUUCUCGGGCGUUGUACACACUGCCCGUCACACCAUGAGAGCCGGUAAUACUCGAAGUCGUUAGCCUAACCGUAAGGAGGGCGGCGCCUAAGGUAGGACUGGUGAUUGGGGUUAAGUCGUAACAAGGUAUCCCUACGAGAACGUGGGGAUG